rnacentral:tRNA from 1 species
GCGGGAAUGGCGGAACUGGUAGACGCACCAUCUUGAGGGGGUGGCGCCACGUCGGCGUGAGGGUUCAAGUCCCUCUUCCCGCACAA